rnacentral:rRNA from 1 species
AUGCAGUCGAGCGGUAGAGAGGUGCUUGCACCUCUUGAGAGCGGCGGACGGGUGAGUAAAGCCUAGGAAUCUGCCUGGUAGUGGGGGAUAACGCUCGGAAACGGACGCUAAUACCGCAUACGUCCUACGGGAGAAAGCAGGGGACCUUCGGGCCUUGCGCUAUCAGAUGAGCCUAGGUCGGAUUAGCUAGUUGGUGAGGUAAUGGCUCACCAAGGCGACGAUCCGUAACUGGUCUGAGAGGAUGAUCAGUCACACUGGAACUGAGACACGGUCCAGACUCCUACGGGAGGCAGCAGUGGGGAAUAUUGGACAAUGGGCGAAAGCCUGAUCCAGCCAUGCCGCGUGUGUGAAGAAGGUCUUCGGAUUGUAAAGCACUUUAAGUUGGGAGGAAGGGCAUUAACCUAAUACGUUAGUGUUUUGACGUUACCGACAGAAUAAGCACCGGCUAACUCUGUGCCAGCAGCCGCGGUAAUACAGAGGGUGCAAGCGUUAAUCGGAAUUACUGGGCGUAAAGCGCGCGUAGGUGGUUCGUUAAGUUGGAUGUGAAAUCCCCGGGCUCAACCUGGGAACUGCAUUCAAAACUGUCGAGCUAGAGUAUGGUAGAGGGUGGUGGAAUUUCCUGUGUAGCGGUGAAAUGCGUAGAUAUAGGAAGGAACACCAGUGGCGAAGGCGACCACCUGGACUGAUACUGACACUGAGGUGCGAAAGCGUGGGGAGCAAACAGGAUUAGAUACCCUGGUAGUCCACGCCGUAAACGAUGUCAACUAGCCGUUGGGAGCCUUGAGCUCUUAGUGGCGCAGCUAACGCAUUAAGUUGACCGCCUGGGGAGUACGGCCGCAAGGUUAAAACUCAAAUGA